rnacentral:rRNA from 1 species
GAUGAACGCUGGCGGCGUGCCUAAUACAUGCAAGUCGAGCGAACGGACGAGAAGCUUGCUUCUCUGAUGUUAGCGGCGGACGGGUGAGUAACACGUGGAUAACCUACCUAUAUGACUUGGAUAACUUCGUGAAACCGGAGCUAAUACCGGAUAAUAUUUUGUACCGCAUGGUUCAAAAGUGAAAGACGGUCUUGCUGUCACUUAUAGAUGGAUCCGCGUUGCAUUAGCUAGUUGGUAAGGUAACGGCUUACCAAGGCAACGAUGCAUAGCCGACCUGAGAGGAUGAUCGGCCACACUGGAACUGAGACACGGUCCAGACUCCUACGGGAGGCAGCAGUAGGGAAUCUUCCGCAAUGGGCGAAAGCCUGACGGAGCAACGCCGCGUGAGUGAUGAAGGUCUUCGGAUCGUAAAACUCUGUUAUUAGGGAAGAACAUAUGUGGAAGUAACUGUGCACAUCUUGACGGUACCUAAUCAGAAAGCCACGGCUAACUACGUG